rnacentral:rRNA from 1 species
GACGAACGCUGGCGGCGUGCCUAAUACAUGCAAGUUGAGCGAUGAAGAUUGGUGCUUGCACCAAUUUGAAGAGCAGCGAACGGGUGAGUAACGCGUGGGGAAUCUGCCUUUGAGCGGGGGACAACAUUUGGAAACGAAUGCUAAUACCGCAUAACAACUUUAAACAUAAGUUUUAAGUUUGAAAGAUGCAAUUGCAUCACUCAAAGAUGAUCCCGCGUUGUAUUAGCUAGUUGGUGAGGUAAAGGCUCACCAAGGCGAUGAUACAUAGCCGACCUGAGAGGGUGAUCGGCCACAUUGGGACUGAGACACGGCCCAAACUACUACGGGAGGCAGCAGUAGGGAAUCUUCGGCAAUGGACGAAAGUCUGACCGAGCAACGCCGCGUGAGUGAAGAAGGGUUUCGGAUCGUAAAACUCUGUUGGUAGAGAAGAACGUUGGUGAGAGUGGAAAGCUCAUCAAGUGACGGUAACUACCCAGAAAGGGACGGCUAACUACGUG